rnacentral:rRNA from 1 species
GGUUGAUCCUGCCAGUAGUCAUAUGCUUGUCUCAAAGAUUAAGCCAUGCAUGUCUAAGUAUAAGCAAUCUAUACGGUGAAACUGCGAAUGGCUCAUUAAAUCAGUUAUCGUUUAUUUGAUAGUACCUUACUACAUGGAUACCUGUGGUAAUUCUAGAGCUAAUACAUGCUGAAAACCUCGACUUCGGAAGGGGUGUAUUUAUUAGAUAAAAAACCAAUGCCCUUCGGGGCUCCUUGGUGAUUCAUAAUAACUAAACGAAUCGCAUGGCCUUGCGCCGGCGAUGGUUCAUUCAAAUUUCUGCCCUAUCAACUUUCGAUGGUAGGAUAGUGGCCUACCAUGGUGGCAACGGGUAACGGGGAAUUAGGGUUCGAUUCCGGAGAGGGAGCCUGAGAAACGGCUACCACAUCCAAGGAAGGCAGCAGGCGCGCAAAUUACCCAAUCCCGAUCCGGGGAGGUAGUGACAAUAAAUACUGAUACAGGGCUCUUUUGGGUCUUGUAAUUGGAAUGAGUACAAUACUAAAUCCCUUAACGAGGAAACAAUUGAAGGGCAAGUCUGGU